rnacentral:rRNA from 1 species
AUUGAACGCUGGCGGCAGGCUUAACACAUGCAAGUCGAGCGGAGAUGAGGUGCUUGCACCUUAUCUUAGCGGCGGACGGGUGUGUAAUGCUUAGGAAUCUGCCUAUUAGUGGGGGACAACAUUCCGAAAGGAAUGCUAAUACCGCAUACGUCCUACGGGAGAAAGCAGGGGAUCUUCGGACCUUGCGCUAAUAGAUGAGCCUAAGUCGGAUUAGCUAGUUGGUGGGGUAAAGGCCUACCAAGGCGACGAUCCGUAGCGGGUCUGAGAGGAUGAUCCGCCACACUGGGACUGAGACACGGCCCAGACUCCUACGGGAGGCAGCAGUGGGGAAUAUUGGACAAUGGGCGGAAGCCUGAUCCAGCCAUGCCGCGUGUGUGAAGAAGGCCUUUUGGUUGUAAAGCACUUUAAGCGAGGAGGAGGCUACCUAGAUUAAUACUCUGGGAUAGUGGACGUUACUCGCAGAAUAAGCACCGGCUAACUCUGUGCCAGCCGCCGCUGUAAAAC